AUAAUGUGAUUGGUUAUAGUAUUGUAACAGUAGGCAUAAUGUGAUUGGUUUAUAUUGUACAGUAUGCAUAAUGUGAUUGGUUAUGUACUGUACAGUAGGCAUAAUGUGAUUGGUUAUGUAUUGUACAGUAUGCAUAAUGUGAUUGGUUAUGUAUGUACAGUAUGCAUAAUGUGAUUGUUAUGUACUGUAC
rnacentral:lncRNA from 1 species